rnacentral:rRNA from 1 species
UACGAAGGGGGCUAGCGUUGUUCGGAAUUACUGGGCGUAAAGCGCGCGCAGGCGGCUAUCCAAGUCAGUGGUGAAAGCCCGGAGCUCAACUCCGGAACUGCCAUUGAAACUGUUUAGCUUGAGGAUGAGAGAGGUGAGUGGAAUUCCCAGUGUAGAGGUGAAAUUCGUAGAUAUUGGGAAGAACACCGGUGGCGAAGGCGGCCCACUGGCUCAUUACUGACGCUCAGGCGCGAUAGCGUGGGGAUCAAACAGG